rnacentral:lncRNA from 1 species
GUACCUGUCAGAGCCAUCUUUCUCAUUCUAUUGAUUAGGUAGGUUACUGGCUUUAGGAAGCUUUUAGGUCAAACAGUGCUGCAAUUUGCUUCACAUUGAGUUCCCAGAACAAUUUGAGUACCAGAUGUGGAUUACUUGAGGCCUGAGCACGGAAAAGUCUCCCUCUGACAUCAUAGGGUGUUGGGCUCCUAGGGUUCCAGUUUUUAUCAUGGCUGAUCUUUGAUUGCAGAAAUAUGAAGAAGAAUCACAAAAGAAUUUGUCU